AUUACUGUCUGUCAUUGUAAAUUUUCUAUCUGGGGAAAAGUGCAGUGUCAUGGUAUAGGAAAAGAGCAGUUGGUCCUUUCAGCUGUAAUCAAGCCUUGCCCUGGCUUUGAUUAUCUUUAUCAUUA